rnacentral:lncRNA from 1 species
UUUUCAUCAAUUUUUAUCGCUGAGACUCAGCUUAAUAAAUAAACCACAUCAUUGAGUCAUCCCUGCACUAUGGGCCAAGGAUAUUCAUUAAAUCAUCAAUGGUCAUGAUUAUACCGAAUAAUCUCUGGUCAUAAUCAUACCAAAAACUGUCCAUCAAUGCACUACAGGCCACUGAUGACUUUUACCACCUCAUUUAUAACAUUACAGGUCAUGAUUAUACCGAAUAAUCCCUG